GUGGGGAAUAUUGGACAAUGGGCGAAAGCCUGAUCCAGCCAUGCCGCGUGUGUGAAGAAGGUCUUCGGAUUGUAAAGCACUUUAAGUUGGGAGGAAGGGUAGUAACCUAAUACGUUGCUACUUUGACGUUACCGACAGAAUAAGCACCGGCUAACUUCGUGCCAGCAGCCGCGGUAAUACGAAGGGUGCAAGCGUUAAUCGGAAUUACUGGGCGUAAAGCGCGCGUAGGUGGUUCAGUAAGUUGGAAGUGAAAUCCCCGGGCUCAACCUGGGAACUGCUUUCAAAACUGCUGAGCUAGAGUACGGUAGAGGGUGGUGGAAUGUCCUGUGUAGCGGUGAAAUGCGUAGAUAUAGGAAGGAACACCAGUGGCGAAGGCGACCACCUGGACUGAUACUGACACUGAGGUGCGAAAGCGUGGGGAGCAAACAGGAUUAGAAACCCCUGUAGUCC
rnacentral:rRNA from 1 species